CAGGGGAUGGGGUGUCCAGUGUUGCUCACUGUCCUCUCCCUCGGGUGUCCUUCCUGGGGUUGUGCUUCCUCGGGGCUCCCCAGGGAAAUGCAUUCUUCAGGUCCUUGGCGGGGAGCCUUGGUACAGUCAGCUGCCUCCUCUGAGUCUCAUGGUAACCACUUGGGGAAACUGAGGCUCAGUAGACUAAAUGAUGUGCUUAGCUGGGUGCAAAUGCACGUAUGUGACGGAGCCUUCACUGUCCUGUGUUUUGAAAGUCACAAACCCGGAGCUCUGUGUCAUGCUGCCCAGUGCCCACUGGUUACAGAGGGAGCUGCAGCGGCAGGGAGGGACCCUGCAGGCCUCUCAAGACCCGGCUGUCAAGUUCGAUCAGAAAAUGAAACCAGGUCUCCCUGGGUUUGUAACCCAGGGGGUGAAGCUCGAUCGCAGCCAGCGCAGCCAGUGCUCUGGCCAGAGACAACUGCAGUGUGCGUGUGUGUGUGUGUGCGUGUGUAGGGGAGCUGAGAGGAGGGUGGGGCUGGAGCAUGAAGGCCUUGAGAGGAUCCCUUUCUUUUUCAGUGAAGGAGGAAGCCAGCCGUCUCCAUGUAGAGUGAAGGCGCUGUCGGGAGAGCAGUGCUCGGGAGACGUCCCCAGCCCUGGGCCCUGUGGGAGGUGGCCUCGGGGACCGCACAGGACCUCAGCUGGGGACUGAGCCUCCAGCACUUGGAGCCUUCAUGCUACAGCGAUGCUGACGGUGGUAGGGAUGCUGCUGAUGGCACCAGGGACGAGGAGAGGACAGUGAUGGGGGCCUUCUUUACCUGCAGCUCAUCCCUUCCCGACUCUUGGGUCAGAGGUCCUGAACAUCAGCGUCUCCACAAGCCCUGGCUGCAGUGCACUUUGGAUGAUCUUCACAACAUGGCAGUUCUUAUGGCCACACAGUGAUGGCAUCCCCGGCAAAAUGCUGAAAGAUCGGUGAAAUUAAUGCUUGGAGAACUCUGACCUGUAUCCAUCGAGGCCACGGUGACUCACUGGACUUUCCUCAUGUAAGUGACAGUGGUGCGGUGGCAGACCAUGGCCUGCUGGCCACGUCUGGCCCGCUGCUGUCCCUGUACAUGGAGCACUGCUGGCACAGGGCCACGCGUGUGUUUGAACGUGGUCUGUGCCUGCCUUCUCCCAAGGACAGUGCUGAGCACUUGUGGCCCAGACCUCGUGUCAUAUUUUUAUGUCACCUCAGUGACAGCCACCAGUUCCUGUGAGCAUCGUUUCCGUGGUGUGUGAGAGGGCAUCUCCGGAACAGACUGACACUUGAAUUGGUACUGAUUCUGGAACUGAUGAAAUGGAACUGAUACAGCAGCUGGCCCUUCCCAUGGAGGGCUGACGUCGUCCAGUCCACUCAUGGCCUGAACACAAGGGGUGGUCGAAAAAUACAUUGAAUGUUUAAAUUAAAAUGAAAACUUUUAUGUGGAGUCUGCUAACUAACUGGAGUUUUUUUCCAGAUCAUUAUUUGUUCAGUGUUGGUUUUGGGGACCUUUCUGAAACAAAUCACAUCCUCUGGUGUCUUGUUGGUGCUUGAGGUGCUUUUUUAAGUUAUAUGGAAAAAUGUUUAAGUGGCUUUUCAGUUUUGUUUUGGUUGAGUUCUACUGUAUUUGAAUAUUAUUGUAGCUUUUUUCCCCUUGCGUUGUUCUUUGAAUGGUUUUAAUUUUUGUAUGUGUCUGUGUUUGAGAAUAGUUAUUUUAAAAAUAAAAAAAAGAAAACUUACUAUAGUAAAAGACACAGUGCCAAGAACAAUGGGAUAGCUGUGUUUGAAGUGAGGAGUAGUAUUUUGAGGGGGAUGAAGGGCAAUUUAUUGUCAUGAAUUUUUAAAUUUAAACAUUCACUAUUUUUUUGAGUUCCCUGCACUGAACAAACAUUUAUGGCAAUUUCUGUCAAAUGAAAAACUCGAUGCUCUGUUCUUAUCCACUGAACUGGCAUUGUGUGACUUCUGGCUCUUCCUCAAAGUCAAAAUGAUCAUGAAAGGUCAAUAUUUUGAAUCAGUUCGGGACACUGAGGCAGCCAUGGCAGCACAGCUAAAGUCACUCCCAAAAGAGCACUUCUAGAGCUGCUACAGAAAGAGGCAAAAACAAUGGGAUAAGUGUAUUCAAGUGACGGGAUUAAUAGCAAUGUGAGUUUUACUAUAUUCAAGUUUUUAAAAACUUUAAACAUUCAACAUACUAGUGGGACACAUCACACCUGGUUGAAUAAAAAGGUGUCUUUGUUCUCUGCCUGUCUCCCUGAGCCAGGACAGCGAUCUUGUCUCAUCCUCGGCACUCCUGGCCCUUAGGACUUCAGGCUGGGAGUGAAAUUGGCCCCACUGGCUCCCUGACUCCCGGGAUUCCCAGCUACAUCUCAGCUUUCCUGGGUCUCCAGCUUUUGGAUGGUGGAUUGUCGGACUUCUUGGCCUCUGUCAUUGUGUGGCCCAAGUUCUCAUCCCGUGGCUCUACUUCUCUGGAGAACCCAGACUAAUUCACCGCAUGAACUGCAAAGCCUAGAGUGUUUUCUCUCUGGCUCUUUACAGAAAGCUCGGACUUCCGCUCUCUGCCCACAGUGAAACCAGUUAUCUCCAGCUUGGAGAAUUACAUCUGGGGAGGGAGAUGGAUGCAAGGGUAGAAGUCUGUGUACAGCAAAAGAAAACAAACACCAAAAGCAAGAUGGAGGAAUCUGGUUUGCCCCAGAGUUUCUGUUCUGUUGUUUAUCAUUGAGCUAAGUUUUUCCACAAGCGCAUGAUGACGGUUAGAAAAAUAAAGUUUUUCAGGAGGUGCCUUUCCAUAAACAGUUGGCCUCCACAAGCGGAGUCCUCACGAGCACGAGAGGACACAGUGCCAACAUUUGUUGUCCUCUCUUCUGAGAUCUAAUUUCCCUAAGAACUGAAGAUCAUCUUCAUGUGCUCACUGGGGAUGAGAAGUGGGGCUGGAGUCCAAAGACCUGGACCCCAGCCCCGGAAUGGGACGGCCCUGAGGCCCCGGGUGACCCGUUUCUCCCCUGGGCCUUUGCUCUGGCUGUGCCAAGGACUCUGCUGAGAACAGGAACUCUGAGGUCCUCCCGGCUCUGGAAGCCAGACUUGGGUUCCCUGGGGAGGGACCAUCUGACUGCCCCAUGAGACCCGGCAGUGUGACAGGGUAGUGACAAGCUGCAAACUCGAGAUUCCCCUGUUGCAACAUUGCACGUAACUCUGAAGAGCGGCCACUCUGUCACCAGCGGAGUGGGUGGGUGUGGCCGGCAUUUGGGCUUCACAGGUGAGGAUGUUCCGGACACAGACCCCUGGACUGGGCCCAGCUCAGAGCCACCACCGGGAAAUUCUGCCAGGACAGCUUUGUGCACGGGAUCGAACUCGGGUUCUUGCGCUUGAGAGGCAGGUGGCAGAACCACUGAGGGAAGUGCAUGGCACUGCUGUCUAAUGGGCUGAAGUUGGCUCAUCUGUCAGAAACUGAGGCCUGAUGCCGGUGGUGGAAGCAGGCUGGGCUGUGUGCGAGUCCUGCCGUGCAAGGGACAGGGAGCUGGGGCGCUGGGCCCCCCUUGCACUUUGUGGAAGUCCGAGUGCAGGAGUUCGGGUUUUCCCGCCUGGGUCUGAG
ensembl:lncRNA